rnacentral:rRNA from 1 species
GAGUUUGAUUCUGGCUCAGGGUGAACGCUGGCGGCGUGCCUAACACAUGCAAGUCGAGCGGGUACCCGCAAGGGUACCAGCGGCGCACGGGUGAGUAACACGUGGGUAAUCUACCCCUCGGAGGGGGAUAACCGGGGGAAACCCCGGCUAAUACCCCAUACGAUCCGGCAACGAAGGUUGCUGGAUGAAAGGGGCGUUUGCUCCGCCGAGGGAUGAGCCCGCGGCCCAUCAGGUAGUUGGUGGGGUAAUGGCCCACCAAGCCUACGACGGGUAGCCGGCCUGAGAGGGUGGUCGGCCACAAGGGCACUGAGACACGGGCCCUACUCCUACGGGAGGCAGCAGUGGGGAAUCUUGGACAAUGGGCGAAAGCCUGAUCCAGCGACGCCGCGUGGGGGAUGAAGCCCUUCGGGGUGUAAACCCCUGUUGCGAGGGAGGAAUAAGGCCUGGAGGAAAUGCCAGGCCGAUGACUGUACCUCGCGAGGAAGCCCCGGCUAACUACGUGCCAGCAGCCGCGGUAAUACGUAGGGGGCGAGCGUUACCCGGAUUCACUGGGCGUAAAGCGGGUGUAGGCGGCUCGGUAAGUCGGGUGUGAAAUCCCACAGCUCAACUGUGGAAUUGCGCCCGAAACUGCUGAGCUUGGGGCCGGUAGAGGGAGACGGAACUGCCGGUGUAGGGGUGAAAUCCGUAGAUAUCGGCAGGAACGCCGGUGGGGAAGCCGGUCUCCUGGGCCGCGCCCGACGCUGAGACCCGAAAGCUAGGGGAGCAAACAGGAUUAGAUACCCUGGUAGUC